UGGACGGCGGGCGGCUGCGGGCAGCGCGGCCGUGGACAUGGGCACCCCGGGCUCCGGGCGCAAGCGGCUCCCCACGCGGGAGCGGCUGACGGCAGAGGACGACGCGCUACACCAGAUCGCGCGCGAGGCGGAGGCCAGGCUUGCCGCGAAGCGAGCAGCGCGCGCCGAGGCUCGGGAGAUCCGCAUGAAGGAGCUGGAGCGGCAGCAGAAGGAGAUCUAUCAAGUUCAAAAGAAAUAUUAUGGGCUGGACACAAAGUGGGGUGACAUCGAGCAGUGGAUGGAAGACAGCGAGCGCUACUCCCGUAGGUCCAGAAGAACCGCUUCGGCUUCUGAUGAAGACGAGCGCAUGUCAGUGGGUAGUCGCGGAAGCCUGCGGUCGCAGCCUGACAUGGAAUAUGGGCGUGCCCCUACCUGGACAAACGGCUACGACGCAGAGCUGUGUGGCCCACAGUCCCUGAGCAGAAGAUCUGGCAGGAGUUCCAGCUACGGCGGUGAUGGCAGAUUCUCCACGUUGUCUUCACCCAGGGAGGAGAAGCUGGGCCCGUCCUGGUCCAGCUUUGACCCCGGCCUCCCCUCCGGUGGCUUUGCUCCCAGAGCCCUGUCUGCCUACCCUGGAAGCCGGGCAUCCGUGUUUGACGACAGCAGCCUCACGAGGGCACGACGGGGCAGCGGCGGCGGCUCCCACGCUCCCUCGGAGUACAGCGGCCACCUCACCUCCAGCUCCCGCGCCUCCUCCAGGGCCAGCUCGGCCCGGGCCAGCCCCGUGGUUGAAGAGAGACCAGAAAAGGAUUUUGCUGAGAAGGGAUCCCGGAACAUGCCGGGAUUGUCCACAGCCACGCUGGCCUCCCUGGGCGGGACGUCCUCCCGGAGAGGAAGCGGAGACACCUCCAUCUCCCUCGACACCGAGGCCUCCAUUAGGGAAAUUAAGGAGCUCAAUGAGUUAAAGGACCAGAUUCAGGACGUAGAAGGCAAAUACAUGCAGGGCUUGAAAGAGAUGAAGGACUCCCUGGCAGAGGCGGAAGAGAAGUACAGGAAGGCCAUGGUGUCCAACGCGCAGCUGGACAACGAGAAGACGAACUUCAUGUACCAGGUCGACACCCUCAAAGACUUGCUGCUGGAGCUCGAGGAGGAGCUGGCCGAGUCCCGGCGGCAGUACGAGGAGAAGAGCAAAGAGUUCGAGCGGGAGAAGCACGCCCACAGCGUCCUGCAGUUCCAGUUUGCCGACGUGAAGGAGGCGCUGAGGCAGAGAGAAGAGAUGCUGGAGGAGAUCCGACAGCUGCAGCAGAAACAGGCGAGUUCUCUCAGGGAGAUUUCUGACCUUCAGGAAACGAUAGAGUGGAAAGACAAAAAGAUAGGGGCACUAGAGAGACAGAAAGAGUUCUUUGACUCCGUAAGGAGCGAACGAGAUGACCUUAGAGAAGAAGUAGUCACGCUCAAAGAGGCGCUGAAGAAACAUGGAAUCAUCCUAAAUUCAGAAGCAGCUACCAACGGAGAGACCCCAGACCCUCCAAAUAACGUCGGCCACCCUACCAAGGUGACGAAAGAAGAGACGGGUGCCCUCCAGUCGGCCGGGGACGGGGCGCUAGGGAGAGCCAAGGAAGUGGAGGUGGAGAAUGUGGGGAAAAGAGAAAUGUUGCAGAAUGCUGAGCGAACCCAGCACAAAGAGGACACGGUAGAGGACAGUGUGGACAGAGAGGUGUCACGUCCUGGCGAGAGCGUGGAGGACCGGAGAGCCGCGGAACACAGUGCCCCGUCCCUAGGAGCGCUGGAAAGUGCCAAAGAUGAGGAGGCUCAGAGCUCAGUGGUGGACAGCGCUUCUUCCCUGGGAAGUCCAGAGCAGGCUGCUGGCUCUGGGCCGUCCCUGGCCGCAUCCAACUGUGCGAGGGAUUCAGGUAGCGAAGGCCCAGGCACCGGGAGUGGGCUGGACAUCCAAAGCCGCAGUGAAAAUUCCGUGGAAAUGCAGGAGGAAGAGAAACCAGAGGAUUUGGAAAACAACUCGGAUGGGUUUGGUCCCAAACCGUGUCAGGAGCCUGUUGCUUCGCAAACGUCUGAAGUCAGAAGGGUGAGCGGUGUAGACACCGUGGGGCAAAGCGGAGACCACGCAGAGAGCGUGGCAGGAGCGGGGCUGACUCACAGCGGGCGCGCGGGCACGGAGUGUAGUGAGGAUGCUCAGAGUCCUGAUGACAGGUGGGCGGCAGACAGCCCCGAAGAGCUGGGCCCUGGCACAGGGCGUGGUCUAGAGGGAGCGUCUGCCACCCAGGAAGUGGCGCAGCCCCAGGAGGGCCCGGCUGAGAGCACGGGAGUCAGCAGGGGGAACAGCACGGAGGAGGAUGGGGAAGCAGAAAUGACGGGCGAGGCCCCCACCCCACCAGACGGCCAGCCCACUCCUGGUUCUCCAGCAGCCCAGAGCACCCGGCAGGGAGCCCCCGGCCCUCGGACGGCAGGUGCCGGAAAUGACCCCCCAGAUACAAAAGAGCCCGAUGAAGACAAGAACGACCCGCAGCAAGAGGCAGUGGAGUCAUCACAGAAGAAGCCAAAGAACAAGAAAAAGAAAAACAAGAAGAGGAAGUCUCCAGCAGCCGCAGACACCCAGCCAGGCACGGAGGAGGGGCCCGGGGCCGCUGUAGAAGAGCAGGGAGCGUGCAGCGGCCAGGCCCCGGCUGCGGAAGCACAGGACGAGGUGACGGAGUGUCCAGAACAGACGACCGUGGCCGGAGGCGGUGAACACGCUGAAUGUCCAGGAAAUCCUAAAACGGAGUCGGAUGGAAAACGCAGCCAAGAGGAUGAUGGAGUCCACGCAAAGGCAGGAGACGCAGUGGCCAAGGGAGACACCUUUGCUCUCGGGGAUGACCCUGUGCCGUCCCCAGGCGCCAGUGGCAGUGAUAAAGAAUCAGAUGGAAGUGUUGUAAAAGAUGACGCCAAGAAGAACGCUGCGGCCCAAGGCCGUGCCCCUGAGCCAGAGAACGGGGGUGGGACCAGCAGCCUUCCCUCCCCGGACAUCACUAACGGCUCGCAGGUGCCCCAACAGCUGAGUCAGCCGGCCAGGGAGGCCUUAGACAGCGUGAGCCUGGAGGACGAUGACCCGUCCGCCCCAGCAGGAGAGGGGGGCGACCUCAGUGCAGAAAGCAGAGUGGACGGGAGAGGAGGAAGCGAGAAGGGCAGAGGCAAAGAGGACUGCACCCUGUCCUGAGCCAGCAGGACGGCGGAGGCAGGCCCGGCACUUUUGCACAGUCUAUCUGAUUCUCAGGACCCCGUCCCCACCCUCGCUGGUGACUGACAGUCACCUCCACCUGUCCCCCACCCUCGCUGGUGGCUGAUGGUCGCCUCCACCUGUCCCCCACCCUCGCUGGUGGCUGACGGUCACCUCCACCUGUCCCCCACCCUCGCUGGUGACAUUCCUAGAAAGUCUGACAAUCACCCUCAGUUAUCUGCUACUCUGACUGUUACUCGUAGGCUUGUAUUUAAUCAUCGGGGUCAUUGGCCAGGUUAGAAAGAGGGGCGGAUUUACUCCCGUCCAAGUCCUCGUUGAGAGCAUUCCAGAAGUAUCAACAACACAUUCUGCUUAUCCCCAGCCUAAAGUGAGAAGAUCCCUCGUGUGCCUUACGCUGAUACGAAUGUGGGCCUCUGUGACCAAGUAGAUUAAAUCUGACUCAAAUGACCAAAUAGCAUCCUUAGGUUUCUGCGUCAUGGGGAGAAUGGGUGUUUAAACUAAGGGGAGGGACCCACUGAAAUGUAUCCCCUUCUGUAUCUGGUUUCAAUGGUGCAUUCCCACCCAUGUGGUGUCUGAUGUCCAGAAGAAUGAGCGAGCAGCAUGUAGGUCCCUGCGUGGGCACACUUGCACCUCCGGGCUGGCGAAAGUGCAGUGCGCUGGGGAGAUGGCCCUUGCUUCUACCUCCGACCCACUCCUCCCUAAGAACCUGAGUCUGCCUGGCAGGGCUUUUCUGGAAGCGACAGAGAUUGAGUUUGCACUUCCUGCUGCAGUAUUGGGUGGGAGCAGCCACUCUGAAAUGUGUUUAACCUUCACGACCAAGCCUCCCUGUGUUGCCAAGUCUGAUCACCACGCAGGAGAGCAAAGCAGUAGGUUACUUGUUCUCGUGCAGACUCACCUGACCAUUAUAGGACGUUUUGAAGAGUUGAAUCUCUUGUGGUAGUCUGGUAUAAAUAUUUUUAUUUGUUAUUUCUCAGUAUAUUCUUAUUGCAAAUUAUUGUUUCAAUCUGCUUACAGAAAAUAUAUAUUUUCUAUGUAAAGAAGCAUUUAAAAAAUCAAAUAAUUGUAUAGGUAAAUAAAAAAUCCUUGUAAAAUAUACAGUCACACAAGGGUGUCGAUUGUGAACGGUGUUGACAUCGUCUGAGAUUGUGUAAACUCAUAUCACUGUUACAAGAUAUCAUUGAGUGCAAAAAUACCAGCACCUCCAUCAAGCUUGAGGCAGACCUAUGUGUUACAAUGUAACUGAAAUAAAAGCAUCUUAUGGUGUCACAAGCCUGUGGUUCCGUCUUUGGGCUGCUCAGGGCCGACUCUGCCUGUGGGUGCACCUGCUGUCACCUCCCAGCCCGCUCACUCCCACCGGGCUUCCACCGAGGCCCCACUGCCCGUGGCCUUGUCGGGAUCCUGAGCCAGCCCGGUGCUAGCGUGGGGCCGCCCUUGGGAGCAGUGAGCUCACCCUCACAUCCUCUCCCGUGAUGGGGGGGCCCUGCUGAACCCCAGCGGGGGAGAGUCUGUAUCCCAUGGCAUGCGUGGUGUGGUGUGGAGAGCACGCUGAACGUGGCACACAGACGUGGCCAUUUCUGCGAAGCGUCCUGCGCGCAGAGAAUGGGACCGAGUCUCCGCGAGCGCCAUAUAAGUAGAGACGUGAGCGCACUGGAGAGCCCUGUCCAGCCGCUGCAGGGCCCUCAGGGGGUCAAGUUUAUGAGUCUAAGUUUAGCAAAGCCGCGUUUAUACUGGAACGCACGUCGGAAAACAGCUCUCGCUCCUGCUUUUAAAGCCGUCUUGGGAAGCGGCCCAACAGCUGAAGCCACUCUGUGGGGAAGCCGCCGCCCAUGUCCGGCCUUCCCUCCCUUCCUGGCUGUUCAUGUCUCAGGGCCUCGGCUCGGCCGCCCAGCAUGGAUCAAGGGUUCUGGUCACGUGGGCGCACGAGGCUCUGUGCCAGGGGACACGCAGGUGGGACCCAGCUCCCUAGCGGGGAGCAGACAGCUAAGAACCAGGGGAGCAGAGGAGAAGGACCGAGAGCCCCGACCACAGCCCCCACGUGGACCCCGGCCAGGGUAGUGACACCCCCCCCCCCCCCGCACGGUGAUUGCUGUGGGAGACUGCUUAGGAGGCACGGGAGUCCAUGUGGCAGUUUAGAGAUUCCUGUGUCAGGAGACUCCAACUCGGAAAAGGUUAGAGGGGUUCCCUGUUAACCGCGUCCCCGGAACAACCGAGACCCUCGGGACACGGCUCGCCCAUAGCCUGAGUCAGAAAGCCCCAGGCCCGGGCGCGGCUGCUGUGCAGCGGGGUAGACAAUGCUCCCUUCGAAGUGUCCCACAGCAGGUGCAGUUCCGGGCCACGUAGCAGUGGGGAAAAGUCACAGACUUUCAGAUUCAAAAGGCUAGAAAGCAAUAAACCUUAUCAAAGAGUUUUUAAGAAUGAGAUGUCCGUGGGUACUCCAAAAGCUCAUGGAAAAUGGAAUUAAAACGAACGCUUUUUCUAUUUCCCACAGAAGUUUUGAAGAUCCCUCAUAGAUGUGAUUUCAAAAUUAACUUGCAGCAAAAUCCUUCCCUUCUAAAAAUUCAGUUUUUCCAGGAACUUUUUAAAGGACGCUGGUAUGAGUAGAAAACUUGGUUUUUCACAAGAAAAAAAGCCUUUCUCCUCCUCCCAGUCUGCCCUUCUUACAUCUCCAGAUGUGAGUGGCUGGGCGUGUCCCACUCGGCCCUGGAAGAAGGCACGUGUGCCACGUGUGCCACAUGUGGGCAGGAGGCUGGCCUGGGGGGAGGCCGAGGAAGAAGGCGGUCAGCGCCUUCCUGGGCAAUGACCGGAGAGGCUCCCCCGGGCGUGGACAGAGGAUGGACGAUCCACUCCUGGAAGGUGCCGCUCACCUCACCGCGCCUCGCCUUGCUGCUGGAAGAUGGGGUGCGGAGCGGCCUCGGAGAGCCGGCAGCGAGCCUCAGCUCCAGGAGAAGUCCUCGGAGAAGCCGGGCUCGCUGAGGGGUCAGCCUGUGGGCGUCUGCUGGCCAGGGAUGGUGCCAGCAGCCCCGGACUGGCCACCCCGGCACUCUCUAGAAGGCCUUACUCCUCUCUCUCCUACGUCAGGGGUCCGUGAAACACCCACGGGAAGUUUGUCGGAAUUCUGUGUGUGAUGCCUGUAGCCCCCGACCUCAGUUGCAUAGUCACAGCUCUUUAUACCUGGGCCUCUCAGACCGCACAGCCCACUGCGUCAUUGGGCAGCCCUGGGUUUCCAGUGCUCUGUUAGAUUCGUCUCCCAGUACCAGCUGUGCUCCGGCCUGUAAGUCAGACAAAUGCAAUCCUCUCACGUCUUCCUAUCAAAUACCUUGCUUCCUUCUUUUUUUCUACUUUCUUAAAGCUGUGUAGUUGUAUUCUCCAAGUUUGAAAAACUUUCUCUUCCUUAAAAGUCCCACUUCUCUCUGUUUUUCGCAUGCGUUCGGUGUGGCUGGAGGUCAGGCUAUCUUAUUCACCUCUCACUGCCGCGGAUGCUACACCGUAAAAUGAAUUUUCUGCCAGCCAUCUGGGACAUUUGCUGUCUCCCGAUAGAGUGUCGUACGCAUAACCCGAGCUUCAAGAUCACUUUCUGUUGCAUUCAGUGUAGUUUACACAGGGGUGUAAAAUAUACAAGAUAAAACCGAAAGUGGCAUUGGUGGCAUUGGAUAGAAGAGCUGGGUUUAUAACCAUGAAAACAUUGUUUCAGUGUCGACUGGAUAUAUGGAAGGAAAGACUAAAACCUCUGUCAGAGCCAUUGAGCUGUGUGCAGAUCAAGGUGGCAUUCAGAGGGUCCCACGUUUAUGUUAUGUUCAACUUCCCCAGUGUCUUUUACUGUGUCACUGUGCCUUUCAGAACGGCAGCUGAGGGUCUUUGCAGGAAAGAUCAGAGGAGGCGUGGAACUUGGGUUAUGAUGCCUGCAUGUAAAAAUGAGGACGAGAUGCGUUUGUUGCAACUUGUCUUCCUCUUGCGUGGCUAAUCAAAGGUAAUUCUUCCUCACAAGAAAUUUGGAGCGAUCCUGCAGGAGAGCAGUGUCCUCGGGGGUUGAGAGCCAUGGGCCAGGGUCAGAGCCCUUGGCCAUGGUCAGGGUUCUGCUCAGAGGUGUGGCCGUAGAUCUGGAAAAGUCAGCAGAGCAGAGUGCUCGGGGAGCAGCCCUGAGGCCCGCUGGGAGCCCGUAGGGAAGUGGCCAAACCUUCCUGGGCCCUGGUCCUCGUCUGUCCUGGCAGGGUUUGCCCACCUCGAGGACUUCCAGGGCUGAGACUCAGGCCACGGAAGCUGCUAGAACAGUACUCGACACAGAGCAGUUGUGCAGGCCACGCUGGUGUCGCCAUCAUCGUCGUCAUUUGCCUUUAAACUGAUGUGGGAUUUACCCCAGACCUUGGGUGCCCCCCGUGACGCUGGGAAGGCCGCGGUACCUGAGGCCCUGCCAAGAGACCGGUGGGGGUGUUCUGAGACUUCUGCAUACGCACCCCUUCUAUCUGGGGCAAAGCAGUUACAGAAACCUAAAAUACCAGCUUUUGAUAACCGAGUUAGCAAAUGUUGCCCGUGGAUUCCUGAUGUGCAAACGUUUAGUCAACUCUGACAUCGUGGGUGUGUGAGAGAACUGAGGGCAGUACCUCGGGGACGCGGGCGUGGAAGGGAAGGCUCUCACAUCACGACGGGUCGGCGUGUCGGUCCCUUGCUAACGGUGCUGGGCUGCGAAGCCUGCGAGGUCUUAUGUUGCAGUGUGGUGUGGCCAUAGCGUUCUUGCAUGCCGCCCUAAGGUAGAAGACUAGCCCGUUUGCAUGCAGCCGGACGCUGCUCCCGAUGAGAAGCAUGUCUGGGAGGCUGAGCCCCCCCAGUGCUGUCUGUGGCCUCAUUCACCAUGAUAUCAGGUUGAAAAAGCUUGUGGAGGAACGGGAAUGCUUGCUGGAACAG